GCAUGAAGUCUCGUUGACAGGUUCGAAGCCGCAGAUAUAACGGUUAUGUUGUGGGUUUGGAAACCGGUGAAAUUCCGGUGCGGUCGCGCCACUGUGAUCAGGAUGAGGAUACCUCGGACUGGAAGUCAGACCCUGCCACGCAAUAAUUCUCG
rnacentral:ncRNA from 14 species